rnacentral:rRNA from 1 species
CCAUCACUGACGNUCAUGGACGAAAGCCAGNGGAGCGAAAGGGAUUAGAUACCCCUGUAGUCCUGGCCGUAAACGAUGAACACUAGGUGUCGGGGGAAUCGACCCCCUCGGUGUCGUAGCCAACGCGUUAAGUGUUCCGCCUGGGGAGUACGCACGCAAGUGUGAAACUCAAAGGAAUUGACGGGGGCCCGCACAAGCGGUGGAGUAUGUGGUUUAAUUCGAUGCAACGCGAAGAACCUUACCAGGGUUUGACAUCCUGCGAAUCUCUUGGAAACGAGAGAGUGCCUUCGGGAGCGCAGUGACAGGUGGUGCAUGGCUGUCGUCAGCUCGUGUCGUGAGAUGUUGGGUUAAGUCCCGCAACGAGCGCAACCCACGUCUUUAGUUGCCAGCAUUUAGUUGGGCACUCUAGAGAGACCGCCGGUGAUAAACCGGAGGAAGGUGUGGAUGACGUCAAGUCAUCAUGCCCCUUACAUCCUGGGCUACACACGUACUACAAUGCUACGGACAAAGAGCAGCAAGUUCGCGAGGACAAGCAAAUCUCAUAAACCGUGGCUCAGUUCAGAUCGUAGGCUGCAACUCGCCUACGUGAAGGAGGAAUCGCUAGUAAUCGCAGGUCAGCAUACUGCGGUGAAUACGUUCCCGGGCCUUGUACACACCGCCCGUCACACCAUGGAAGUUGGCCACGCCCGAAGCCGUUACUCCAACCCUUGUGGAGGAGGACGUCGAAGGUGGGGCUGAUGACUGGGGUGAAGUCGUAACAAGGUAACC